ACAACACUGCGAUGAAAGAUAUAUUCUUGAAAGUCAUGGGUGACGAACGACAUGGCCAUGUCUGCACUUACGAGUUAGGUCCCUCUCCUUCUGAUAUAUGGGGCACAACAUCCCACAAUGUCCAGUCCCAAGGGAUGGCCUCCAAUGCUGAGAAGAGAGAUGAAUAAUACGAGGGAUUGCAUGCUGAAAUAUCUUUCCUAAGAGAAACUAUGGCUGAUAAAGAUGCUCAAAUAUCUUCACUAAGAGAAACUAUGACAACAUUUAUGGCUACCAUAAUGAAUCCAAGCAUUAAUCUAGCUACAUUAUUAGGUGUUUCAGCUAAUCCCAACUUGAACCAACCCUCCUCAUCAUCAAGCCACUUGGUUCCAACCCCUCAGAGAGACUUGGCGAAUAAGGGGAAUUCUAUGAGUUGCACUAAUGUGACUCAAGUUCUUCUUAAGAGUAUUGUAAAGCCUGAGGAUACUAUAACUAAAGGAACCGUUUUGAGCACGGAUCCAUUGACAAAAGUAGGGGGCAAAAACUUGGAGUUGGUUUCUGGGAAGUAUCUGUUUAAGUAGCAAUGGUACGUGAUGUGGAUUUGAUAAGGACCCAUGGACGAUAUAAAACAAUUGGGGAUGCAAUUGGAACGAGUAUUGCUUGGCCCACUACUUUAUGUAUGGUUGUAGACAGAAAUGGGUGAUGACUACAUGGGAGAAGUUUUUAUUAAGUAUUUAGAACUAGACACAUCUUUUAUAAGUGGGGGUAGUAGGGAUCCAUGGUUUCAGACUUUUUGGAUUGAGUUAGACACAUCUAAACAGUUUAUUUUUAACUUAGUUUAAUUAUAGAAGGCACAUCUAAACUCAUCUAAUCUCUUUAAUUUAAUCUUAGUUUUAUAAGAUUAUGAUUUGUGAUUUGAAUUUUGCAUUUGGAUGUCUUUAAUUUAAUCUCUUCUGUUUCUUUUCUUUUUACACGUGAUCACUUGGUCAUCAUAUUUGUAGUGUAAUAGUUCCUAUCAUACCUUUUAGUAAAUUUGUAUAUAAGUCUUAGGCUCCAUUUGCUCAUCACAUCAAUCUUUAUGAAUAUAAUUUUUUCUCAAACCAAAUGGAGCUUAAGCCCUUUUUUAACUCCGCCAAUGCAACUUCUUGCAUUGUCGGUCCCAAGCCCGGGUAAAGGAGGAGGGAAAAGGGGCGUCAAGGUGAGUUGUGUCAUUCUUUUCCAUUUUAUUUUACAUACAAUGUUAAUCUUCAGGUCACUCGACUAAUUUUCAAGUCACUUGACUAAUUUUCAGGUCACUUGACAUAGUCGGCAUGGCCCACCCUCUGUUUGGUUGUAAGUGAAGUUGAUCUAUGUACUUUCAUAUGACAUGAUAUUUUAGAGGUCAGGCCAAUUAUCUGUCCUCUCCCAUUAACUUUUUCGUCUCUUUGAUUUGUCUGGAUGUUGUUUCUGCACGUAUCAUCUUCCAGGCCGAUUUAGUAGUGAAAAAUCUUUAUCUUAAAUUAUUGAUAGAAAUAAUGAGGCAGAGGCAGGUAAGUGCUGUGAAGAAGGUAAUUGCUGUAAUGACUGUUGGGAAGGAUGUUUUGUCGCUGUUUACAGAUGUUGUGAACUGCAUGCAAAUAGAGUCUCUGGAGCUGAAGAAGCUUGUAUAUUUAUACCUUAUAAACUAUGCUAAAAGACAACCUGAUCUAUCUAUAAUUGUUGUGAAUACGUUUGUGAAGGUGCACAAGUUGGGAUGGAUUGGACUUCUAUCUUGAGAAAAUGCCAUGAUUUCAGGUA